UACGUAGGAACCGAGCGUUGUCCGAAUUUACUGGGCGUAAAGAGCGCGUAGGUGGUUUGUUAAGUCUCACGUGUAAUCUCCCGGCUCAACUGGGAGGGGUCGUGGGAUACUGGCAGGCUAGAGGUUAUCAGAGGAAAGCGGAAUUCCAGGAGUAGUGGUGAAAUGCGUAGAUACCUGGAGGAACACCAGAGGCGAAGGCGGCUUUCUGGGAUACACCUGACACUGAGGCGCGAAAGCGUGGGGAGCGAAC
rnacentral:rRNA from 1 species